GCUUUUAUACUCUUGAUAACAUUAUAAUCCAAAAAAAUGAUUAAAAAUCAAAAAUAUGUAGGCAUAUUUAAAAUCACUAAUUAAAUAUGUAAAAAUAUUCUGCACGAUUAAAAUAGGGUCAAUUUGACCCUAUAAUGGGUUUCAUUCGCACCCUAGUGGUAAUUUAUAUGCUCAUUUACAUAACGUUAUAUGUGGCACUAGUUGGAGCACUGUACUAUGUACGAAGCGUUAUCAUAUCGAAUCAAGAGAUAUCAGAAAACAUGUACCUACUGAACAAUUAAAUAAAACACAAGAUGUAUUCACGUGGGAUUUAAUUACAAAACUACAAAAGGCACAAAAUGGACGGCAGUACAGAGUAAAAUAUUACAGUACUUUGGAAUGUUAAUUAAUUGUUAUAUACCCUUUUUUACUUAAAGUUAAUGAAAUAGAUAAGAAACUUAGUGUAAGGCCGAGCGAUAUAUUGGAGCGUUCACCUCAAUCACAUGUUCAUAGUACAUACACAACAGAGUUGGCAUCGUUUUAAACAUUUGUUAUCUCAUUUUAAACUGAUUUUUAUUUAAAACAAGCACGUUUUAAGUAAAAUGAACCUUAACAGCAUUGUUUUACCGUUGAAGUUCGUGCAUACAUCUAUAGUCGGCGCUCCAAGUGGAAUCCUUAUUAAACUGGUGGAACUGAAAUUUCGACUUUAAUCCAAGGUGAUUUAGGUCCAUUUUACUCUGACGCUACUAAGUUUCGACGCUCAAAUAAAGUUUUUUCGCUGAUCUGACCACACGAUAAACGCCUUACACAAGCCUUAACCUUGUAAAUAGGUUUAGGCUUGUGUAACCGUGUAAAUACAUAGUUUUAGUACAUAAUCUAUAAACUAAACAGACAGGUCUAAAUCUAGUACCUUUUCUGCAGAGUAGCUUAUGAAAAUGAUAAACCUGUCAACUAAAUUAACACCAUUUAACAAGGUUUUCCAAUGAUUAAGUAACAAAAAUAUGUGACAUCAAUCUAAUUUAAUAAUACCGGCGCUGUAAAUAGUUAAAGUAACUAAAUGCCAGUCCAACAACUAUAAUAUACGGACAUACACCAACUUUUAGGUUUCCAAAGUGAGCUUAUAACUAUUCCUUUUUUGGACAUACUAGAGAAAAAAGGAACCCUUAUAAGAUCAUUACGUUGUCUGUCUGUCUAUUUAUUUAUCAAGACGCGUCAAGGGAAUCAAAACGUAGGGUACUUGUUGACCUAUGAUCAUGAAAUUUGGCUGGUAGUGAUGUCUUAUAGAAAGUUAGGGUAAAAAUCUGAAAACCGUAAAUGUGUGAAAAAAUGUUAUUUUGACCAACAAACUCGGUCGGUUUUUUUUUCAAAUCUGUUAGGUCCAUUAUGUAAUAUAAUAAUGUACCUUCUUUAUGAAACUUAGGAUUGUGUAGUUAUCCAAAGUUUGUGUAUUCAAACAGCAUUAUUAAAUUAGAUGGACUCUGGUAAAAUAUAUAAAUUGUAACAUUACUUAAUAAUAAUAUACAAAGAGACAUUAAAAAUGAUUUUCACUUAAUAUUAUACCUGAUAUUGUUGCUUGAACACAAAAUUAAAAAUAAACUAAAUAGUGGCGACUAAAAAACAUUCAAAAAUAAAAUUUAUUUGAAGCCUUUCCAAUUUAGUCCAACUAAAGACUUAAGUCAGUUACCCAUUUUUACAUUAAAGUUCAUACAAUUCAAGUUUGUACUAAUAGUUCUAAAAGACAUUUCAUUUAUUUAUUUAGAUCUAAGACAUACACAUGGUACAGAAUAAAAUUAAAUGCAAAAAUACUAAUAAAAUACGAGAUUCAAAAAAUAUCAUUGCAAAAAAAAUACACCGAAAGAUAAAAUUACUAUACCUAAUCAUAUAAUUAAAACACAAAACAAGUAGUCCAAUGUGAACACAAGGCAUACGACUGCGCAUUGUACGAAAACAGAUUUCAGCCGGGCUUGUGUAAUAAUUAAUCAAUCUAUGAGCCGUUUAAAUCGCGACGUUGAUUUGCAACUUCAGAUCGGACUACUUCUUUUAGCGAUCACUGUAAGUAAAAUUUAUCCUAUUCGAAAUACGUGCUUAAAUAUCUUAAAACUAGAUUCCUUUGAAGUGUGGAGCUACAGAAGAAUGCUGCGAAUAAGUUGGGUCCGAAAACUAAGGAACGACUUAUUUUGACGAUCAAAUCAAACACAGAAAGGUCAGUUAGCUGGGACAUGUUCUAAGACAUGACCGGUACCGUCUCCUUCAGAGCAACACGAUGAGCAAAAUUGAGCUCAAGAGAAGUCUUGGUAGAAAAAAGUCAAACUUGGGAAAAUCCGAGAAUGGACCAGGAUAUCCAACGUAGCACAACUUUUCCGUUUGGCGAAAGACAAGAAAUUAUAUGAAGAGAUGGCGGCCAGCCUCUAGUAGAGAAGCGCGAGAAGAUAUAUAUAAUUUAUGUAAAAGAGAUUCAUAAUAGCAAUUCAAAAGAACAUGAAAACCAUAACAUGGAAAGCUGCUAAAGAAAAGAGAGCAUCCAAAAGUAAUGCCUUGUAAUUAUUGCCAUGAGUUUUAUAACUAGAAUAUACUAGAAGAAACUUUAUGUCAAUAUACUCGUAUU